AUACGUAGGUGGCAAGCGUUAAUCGGAAUUACUGGGCGUAAAGCGCACGUAGGCUGUAGUGUAAGUCAGGGGUGAAAUCCCACGGCUCAACCGUGGAACUGCCUUUGAUACUGCACAACUUGAAUCCGGGAGAGGGUGGCGGAAUUCCAGGUGUAGGAGUGAAAUCCGUAGAUAUCUGGAGGAACAUCAGUGGCGAAGGCGGCCACCUGGACCGGUAUUGACGCUGAGGUGCGAAAGUGUGGGGAUC
rnacentral:rRNA from 1 species